rnacentral:tRNA from 1 species
GAUUAAAUGGCUGAAGUUUAAGCGAUAGACUGUAAAUCUAUAUAUAAGAAUUAUUCUUUUUAAUCA